GUGCUUGCUUCAGCAGCACAUAUGCUAAGAUUGGAAUGUUACAAAGAAGAUUAGUGUGGCCUUAGCGCAAGGGUAACAUGCAAAUUUGUGAAGUGUUCUGUACUUUU
rnacentral:snRNA from 1 species